rnacentral:rRNA from 1 species
CCUACGGGAGGCAGCAGUGGGGAAUCUUGCACAAUGGAGGAAACUCUGAUGCAGCGAUGCCGCGUGAGUGAAGAAGGCCUUUGGGUUGUAAAGCUCUUUUGUAGGGGAAGAUAAUGACUGUACCCUAAGAAUAAGGUCCGGCUAACUUCGUGCCAGCAGCCGCGGUAAUACGAAGGGACCUAGCGUAGUUCGGAAUUACUGGGCGUAAAGCGCGCGUAGGCCGUUGAGUUAGUUAAUUGUGAAAUCCCAAAGCUUAACUUUGGAACUGCAAUUAAAACUGCUCGACUAGCGUUUGAUAGAGGAAAGCGGAAUACAUAGUGUAGAGGUGAAAUUCGUAGAUAUUAUGUAGAACACCAGUUGCGAAGGCGGCUUUCUGGAUCAACACUGACGCUGAGGCGCGAAAGUAUGGGUAGCAAAGAGGAUUAGAUACCCUCGUAGUCCAUACCAUAAACGAUGAUUGCUAGAUGUUGGAAAUUUAUUUUCAGUAUCGCAGCUAACGCAUUAAGCAAUCCGCCUGGGGAGUACGACCGCAAGGUUAAAACUCAAAUGAAUUGACGG